rnacentral:rRNA from 1 species
ACUCCUACGGGAGGCAGCAGUGGGGAAUAUUGCACAAUGGGCGAAAGCCUGAUGCAGCAAUGCCGCGUGUGUGAAGAAGGCCUGCGGGUUGUAAAGCACUUUUAUCGGGAAAGAAAACCAGGGCUAAUACCCUUGGUCUUGACGGUACCCGUUGAAUAAGCACCGGCUAACUCCGUGCCAGCAGCCGCGGUAAUACGGAGGGUGCAAGCGUUAAUCGGAAUUACUGGGCGUAAAGCGCAUGCAGGUGGUUUGUUAAGUCAGAUGUGAAAGCCCGGGGCUCAACCUCGGAAUUGCAUUUGAAACUGGCAAACUAGAGUACUGUAGAGGGGGUGAGAAUUUCAGGUGUAGCGGUGAAAUGCGUAGAGAUCUGAAGGAAUACCGGUGGCG